rnacentral:tRNA from 1 species
CAAAGGUGUAGCUUAUACAAAGCACCUGGUUUACACCCAGAAGAUUUCAUUUACAUGACCACUUUGA